CAGUAGCCGCGGUAAUACGAAGGGGGCUAGCGUUGUUCGGAAUUACUGGGCGUAAAGCGCACGUAGGCGGAUAUUUAAGUCAGGGGUGAAAUCCCAGAGCUCCACUCUGGAACUGCCUUUGAUACUGGGUAUCUUGAGUAUGGAAGAGGUGAGUGGAAUUCCGAGUGUAGAGGUGAAAUUCGUAGAUAUUCGGAGGAACACCAGAGGCGAAGGCGGCUCACUGGUCCAUUACUGACGCUGAGGUGCGAAAGCGUGGGGAGCAAACAGGAUUAGAUACCCGAGUAGUCCCUGUCUCUUAUAC
rnacentral:rRNA from 1 species